GUGCUCACUUUGGCAGCACAUACACUAAAAAAAAAGGAUGUUACAAAGAAGAUUAGCAUGGUCCCUGGGCAAGGAUGACAUGCAAAUUUGUGAAGCGUUCCAUAAAAAA
ensembl:snRNA U6 U6 spliceosomal RNA